rnacentral:miRNA from 1 species
AUGCAGAUCACCUGGGAUCUUGUUCAAGUGCAGAUUCUUGAAGUCUGGGGUGGAGCUUGAGAGUCUGCCUUUCUCAAAAGCUCCCAGAUGCUGCUGAU